rnacentral:rRNA from 1 species
CCUACGGGGAGCAGCAGUGAGGAAUAUUGGUCAAUGGACGAGAGUCUGAACCAGCCAAGUAGCGUGAAGGAUGACUGCCCUAUGGGUUGUAACCUUCUUUUAUAAAGGAAUAAAACGAGGCACGUGUGCCUUUUUGCAUGUACUUUAUGAAUAAGGAUCGGCUAACUCCGUGCCAGCAGCCGCGGUAAUACGGAGGAUCCGAGCGUUAUCCGGAUUUAUUGGGUUUAAAGGGAGCGUAGAUGGGUUGUUAAGUCAGGUGUGAAAGUUUGCGGCUCAACCGUAAAAUUGCAAUUGAUACUGGCAGUCUUGAGUACAGUUGAGGUAGGCGGAAUUCGUGGUGUAGCGGUGAAAUGCUUAGAUAUCACGAAGAACCCCGAUUGCGAAGGCAGCUUACUAAACUGUGACUGACAUUGAUGCUCGAAAGUGUGGGUAUCAAACAGGAUUAGAUACCCUAGUAGUC